GUUUUCGGAUUGGCUGCUGUUUGGUUUUUCUCAUACAACCAACCAAUUAGACGCAAAGCUGCUCUGUGAGUAAAAAAAAACUGUAUAUUAAAAAAAAGCUUCAAUCUGAUGACAGUUGUUUUUUUUGUUUGUUUGCUUGGUUUUUUUUUAAAUCAAUGUGUGGUCUGCAGAAUUAAACAGUUCGUAUAUUGCAAUAACAAAAAAGAAGGUUGUUUGUAUUUCCUGUAAUAUCAUAAACAUCUUGGUUUUAUCAGAGCAAAAUGUCCCAGAACCGUGAAGGAACUCCUGCUACUCAUAAGAGCCAGUGGCGUUCCUGCAGUGGUAAGAGGAGAUGAAGGAGAAGGACAUGCAGGAGGAGCUGGCUCAGCUGGUGCGCAGGAGGCUCGAGGUGAAGAUUAGCCACGAGGAUGCUUGGCUGGCACGACAACGAGUCAUUGAGCUCAACCAGCACAAAGCAGUGCUCAAGAAAGAAGAGACUGCACAACUGAUGCGAGAAGCGUCUGCGAGAGGCAAAAGACUCUAAAGCUGCCAAAUUGAAACUGGUCCAGAGAGAGCCAAUACCUGAAAAGCAAGAUCAGUUUUAAAACAGAUGGCAUCAGAAAACCAAAGUAUGUUUAGCCAUUGUUAUGUGUAAUCAUUUUUCCUUUCUGGUAAGGAAGUUACUUACUGAGAUCAUUGUAGACUGAGUCAGCUUGCUUUGUAAGAAAAAGUGGGGGUUUCGGUGGGGACAAAACCUCAAUUUCCAUCAGCUUAUCACAGGUGUGCUGCCACUGACCUAUUGCACAAGCAAACGAGUGUUCAUUCUUUACAAAUAUUCAAUAAAAAGAAGCAUGCCGAUUUCCUUGGCUCAUAUAUGCACACCAAUACCCAUCAGUCACUCACUCUGAUCAUAGAUGUGUUGCAACAGAACACUGAGCCACUCCUGCAGUAGGUCAGGU